rnacentral:rRNA from 1 species
GUGGUGUCACAAAAUCGGAGGCCCCGACUGUUUACUAAAAACACAAUUCAGAGCAAUGAUGUAAAUCAUAGUAUUCUGGAUGAAAUUUGCCCGAUGCCAUUAACAUAAAAGAGGUAAUGGGAAACUGUUACUAAUUGAAAGUCUGGUUAAUAGCGGUCUUAACUAUGAGGAUCCUAAGGUAGCAAAAUCAGUUGGCCAUUAAAUGUGGUCUGGUAUCAAUAGUGUAACGAUGGUCUCACUGUCUCUACAACUUGCUCAGUGAAAUUGAAUUAUCCGUGCANAUGCGGAUUGCCUCC